rnacentral:rRNA from 1 species
AACGAACGCUGGCGGCAGGCCUAACACAUGCAAGUCGAGCGAACCCUUCGGGGUUAGCGGCGGACGGGUUAGUAACGCGUGGGAAUAUGCCCAAAGGUACGGAAUAGCCUCGGGAAACUGAGAGUAAUACCGUAUGUGCCCUUCGGGGGAAAGAUUUAUCGCCUUUGGAUUAGCCCGCGUUGGAUUAGGUAGUUGGUGGGGUAAUGGCCUGCCAAGCCGACGAUCCAUAGCUGGUUUGAGAGGAUGAUCAGCAACACUGGGACUGAGACACGGCCCAGACUCCUACGGGAGGCAGCAGUGGGGAAUCUUAGACAAUGGGGGAAACCCUGAUCUAGCCAUGCCGCGUGGACGAUGAAGGCCUCAGGGUUGUAAAGUCCUUUCAGCUGGGAAGAUAAUGACGGUACCAGCAGAAGAAGCCCCGGCUAACUCCGUGCCAGCCGCCGCCGUAACAC